CAGCGUAAACAACAACAAAAUAAACGCUGAUACCGAUGUUACGUUCAUCAUCCGGGCACAUGGGUACAAGUUAACACAUUUUCCCCGAGUACAAAUCAAUGAAGCGGUAGAAGAUUGAAAGUCGAAAAUGAAUAGUUCAUCGCUGGUAUCGGAAAAACCUCCUCCAUCGCUAAGUAGUUCAGAAAGGCGAGAAUGGUAUCGCGAAAAGAAAAGGGCUAUUAAUAGGUCAAGAGUUCAGAAACAUAGAAACAAAUCAAAUGAAAGAAAACGUGAACGCGAUAGGUUUCUCGCAAAGGAACGUAUGAAACGCUACAGACAGAGAAAGAGAGAAAUAAAUGCAGACACAAACAUUUCUAGCGAAUCUCUAACAAAUCAAACUCCAUUUCAAAACCGGAUGCAGAAAUGUAGGGCUUUAAAAACACUUAAAGAUACAAUAACCCCCUUCUCACCACAGAGGCGUGCAGCAAUCUUGCAAUCACUAAUUGAUUCAUCAAGUCCGGUUUCUAAAACAACAAGAAGAUGUCUGGAAUUCAAACAAGUUGUACAACCAAGCGAAAACAAAACAAGAAAUAAAGUGGCAUGCGCUCUUUUAGCAGAUGUAUCGUCGUCAAUUUCGUCGGCAAUUGAUAAAACAUCGCCCACCGAGAAAAGGGUCAGCGCUAAACAGGCGGCGAGUUUCAUUGUAGGAAAUACAAUUGAAAGUGAAAGUUAAAAUCUGCCCUCUCUAAAUACACUAAAUUGGAUAGGAGGACAAUUAAUAAGUGCCUAAACAGAAACAAACAAAUUGUACAUGAACAUGACAUGAAUACAAAAUGGAUAGCACGAAAACCAAGAAAGGAUAAACUCUCCGAAGAACUUAAAGAGAAGGCAAGACAGUUUUGGAUUGAAAACAGCCAGCCAGUUAACGAUAAGAAGAAAGUUGUUUGGCGGAGAAUUUCGAAAAAUAAAUAUGCAGCAAAUGUCAAACAUGCUCUUAAUACGACUCAAUUCAAUGUUUAUAAGCAGUUCAUGAAAAAGAACCUGGAUGUCAAAAUAGGCCAGAGAAGUUUCGAGUCAUGUAAGCCGUAUUUUAUUAAAUCAGCCACGAAACAAGAUCGCAUUACAUGUCUUUGUCGUAAACAUGUAGAAGUGAACAGGUUGUUUAAAAGCGCAAAAUUGAUGCGAAAAAGAAUUAUAGAAGAAUACAAUUUAGCAGAAGAAUACACCGUUUGGAAUACACUGGAUGAUUUAUUACAAGAGACAUUGUGUCCUACUAUCGGUGUAGGAGACCACGAGGAACAGUUGCACAAAAUUGAGUGUUUAAAUAUAAAUUGUGUAACGUGUGGAGUGCAUUUACUGAAAUUAUAUGCUGCAGAAUUGAGCUACACUGACACUUUAACAUGGCAAAAAUAUGAAAGCAUAGGUGCAGGUAGAAAUGACAGACAGGGUAGAGAAAUUAAGAAACUAAGAAUGAUGUCCGUCAAUACCACUCGCUUUGAAUUCUGGUCAUAUUUCAAGGAUAUAUAACAAGAGUUUCCUAUACAUCAAUUCCAAGCUACCUGGCAAAAAGAACAAUUGAAAAACAUCACGUCACACUUACCAAAUAAUCAGAUUGUGAUGAUACACGACUUUGCCGAGGACUUCACAUGUGAAAUGCAGGAUGAAAUUCAGUCCGAGUAUUUCGGGAGAAAUGAAAUUGCUAUACAUGUAACUAUUUUAUACAGGCAUAAAACCAGUCAUGAUCGUUUGAACGAUAACAAUAUAAUAAAAGAAUACAUAUUCUGCAUUUUUGAGGAAAAUACUCACGACAGAGACUCGGUACAUCACGUCCGUAAAACAAUCAUCAAUUAUUUAAAACAUGAUCUAGAAUAUCAAAUAGAUUUUAUUCACGAAUUUAGUGACGGGUGCAGUGCACAAUAUAAAUCAAGGUUCUGCAUGAACGAUAUAAAAAAAUAGUUAUGAAGGUUUUGGUAUCCUUUGUCAGAGGAAUUACUUCGAAACAAGUCACGGUAAAGGCGAGCAAGACGCGGCUGGUUCCCAUGUAAAAACCAAAGCCAACAAGUCAACCAUAAGACGCGAGUGCACCAUCCAUACAGCAAAGGACUUCCAUCAUUUCUUUAGCACAUCUUUUAAAUAUCCAGAAUCGUCUUUUUUUAAUCUAGACAUGACAAAGUAACAUUAAAACAAAUAUUUUUUUAUGCAGCAAAAGACGAUAUUGACAGAAAUCGUAGCAGUGGCAAAGUUCGAGCGGUCAAGGACAACCGGAAGGUUCACAGCAUACGAUCUGUACAAGGAAACUCAAACCAACUAAUGAUCAGACGGCAGUCCUGUUACUGUAGUAUGUGCAUAGCACAGAUGUACGACAGGUGUAUUUACAUUGAUAUAAUCGGCCAAUGGAAUAAUAUUAAAUUGUAACAUUGUGCAUAUUUUCUACACUGCCACGUCAGUAAAGUCGUGUAUGAGAUUACAAGCUGUACUGUCGGUUUAUUAAAUGAGUCGCGUUCUGAGAAAACUGGGUUUAAUUCAUGUGCGUAAAGUGUCAUCCCAGAUUAGCAUGUGCAUUCCUCACAGGCUUAUAACGUACGACACUUUCCGCUUUUAUGGUAUUUUUAGUUUCAAGGAAGUCCCUCCUUACCGAAAAUAAUGUUUAGUCGGACUUCACAGGCUAAUCUGGGACGACACUUUACGCACAUGCAUUAAGCCCAGUUUUCUCAGAACACGACUCAAAUAAUCGUACCUAUUUUUAUUAACUGAACUUUGUGAUGGGAGGCGUGGCAGCCUCUAACCUAGUUCUAUAAAUUUUUAUGUAUAUCAUAUGUCAAUGAUAAUGUUGUAUAUUUAAAAUGGAAAGAUAUUUGCAGAUCCGGUGUUCGUUUGUGAAAAUUGCGCACUUUUCUAAAUUAGUGCGCCAUCGUCAGUAUCUAAUUAAUCUAAUUAAUGAGUAUGCUACUUACUUAGCUUAACAAUUAUACCCACGUGUAAUUAACAAAAACAAGUUUAACACCAUUAAUUUCCACAUCUUUAUUUUUUGACCCAAUAGUUACCUCCCUCGAACUCCUGCGAAGCUGUCAAAUUUGAUGGCGUGUCAAUAUUUACGCAUGCGCCAGGCCGCCGGUCUAUAAUUAGAUGUGUACAUGCUGUCACUAUACAAAGGGAAUUGUUUAUUGUUUUCUAUCAGUCAUUCUUAAGAUUUUGUAUUUUGAAAUGAAGUACGUUCAAUGCUGUCCAUUGUUUUAACUAAACUCGGAAAUACUUGGAAACACGGCGUGAAUAAAAUGUAUUAUACAUCCGUUUUGGAAAUGAACGCAGUAAAUAUUUGUCUUUCUGAUGAUCCUGUUAAAAAUACUUUAAAUAUUGUUUCAUAGACACGUUGUACGAUUUACUGACGUGUAACAAUGAUUGAACGAAGAUGGAAAACUACCAUUUUAACUAAAAUAUUUAAAUGAAAGCAGUCCCGCGAGCUGCAUAGAAAAUGAAAACUCGCAACUUCAAUCCCAUGUAUUUCCCCACAGCUAUCGGUGUACAAUAUAAUAAUAAUAAUAAUAUUUAUAACAGAAGUAAAUACCAUUAUUUGUUUUAUUUACUGAUGUAUCUUGCAUGCUGUUUACAUCGCCGAAAAAAUAACUUUUAUAAAUAUACGGAAUAGUAGCGAGUACUCUUGGCCAAUUACUUCCUGACAAAACCGAGGUUGUUUUACUGUUAAUAGAUUUUUAUUUUAUCCAUUUUUAUCAUUAAUAAUGGAAUUGUUAAUGAUGCAUCAAACUGUAAAAUGUACAGUCUAAAAAUAAAUAAAAUAAUAUCAU